GAAUAAAUGGUAAAUGUAAAUGAGUAAGGUAAAUUGAUUAAUCUAAUUGGAGUGGGUAAAGAGCAAACAAAUAAAUUCUAGAUCUAGUUUUCAAUUAAACUAAAUUAACAAUGGGUAAUUCAAAUCAAAGUCUAAUUAUAUUAAAAAUGAUUCCAGAGUUGGGGGUUUAUGCACAAAUUAGUUGGGAUUUGUCUUGGGCAUUCCAAUUUUUAGGGAAAAAUAGAGUUUGAAGGAAAUUGAUUCUAAAUCCCUUUGAUAUCUUUUUCAAGCAAAUCAAAGCGUAUUCUAAAAUAACCAAACCUACUUU
rnacentral:misc_RNA from 1 species